UGGAGAGGUGGCUGAGUGGUCGAAAGCGAACGACUCGAAAUCGUUUGACGGGCAACCGUCCGUGGGUUCGAAUCCCACCCUCUCCGU
rnacentral:tRNA from 11 species